UGGGGAAUUUUGGACAAUGGGCGAAAGCCUGAUCCAGCCAUGCCGCGUGAGUGAAGAAGGCCUUCGGGUUGUAAAGCUCUUUUAGUCGGAAAGAAAGAAUUAUGACGAAUAAUCAUGAUUUAUGACGGUACCGACAGAAAAAGCACCGGCUAACUACGUGCCAGCAGCCGCGGUAAUACGUAGGGUGCGAGCGUUAAUCGGAAUUACUGGGCGUAAAGGGUGCGCAGGCGGUUUUGUAAGUCAGAUGUGAAAGCCCCGGGCUUAACCUGGGAAUUGCGUUUGAAACUGCAAGGCUAGAGUGCAGCAGAGGGGAGUGGAAUUCCAUGUGUAGCAGUGAAAUGCGUAGAGAUGUGGAAGAACACCGAUGGCGAAGGCAGCUCCCUGGGUUGACACUGACGCUCA
rnacentral:rRNA from 1 species